AUAAAAAGCCAUGUGAGGUAUCAAGUUAUGUUGUUUGCUUCUCAUACCUGUGGAGUUGCUUUAAAAGCACCAUGAAGAGCUGAUGUUGGAGAGCUUGUUUGAGACUGAGAAGUGGGAAAUUGACCGCGACACGUCCACUGCUCCGUCAUCAACAACAAACUCACUCAUAACUUUAUAAGGCAGGCUCCCAUAUCUUCUCCUUCCUUUCCAGCAUUGCCAUCACCGUUCAGCCGAUGCAGAUAGAAGGGCCAACUUGGGAGAAUCGAUUUGGUGAACAUGAAGGUAGAUUGUAGAUACCAAUAGAAAACAGUUUCUUCACACCAGGUUAACCAUUGCUUUGCAAGCUGAGC